rnacentral:rRNA from 1 species
AGCAGUAGCCACGGUAAUACGUAGGGUGCAAGCGUUAAUCGGAAUUACUGGGCGUAAAGCGUGCGCAGGCGGUUUGUUAAGACAGAUGUGAAAUCCCCGGGCUCAACCUGGGAACUGCAUUUGUGACUGGCAAGCUAGAGUGUGGCAGAGGGGGGUGGAAUUCCGCGUGUAGCAGUGAAAUGCGUAGAUAUGCGGAGGAACACCGGUGGCGAAGGCAGCCCCCUGGGCCAACACUGACGCUCAUGCACGAAAGCGUGGGGAGCAAACAGGAUUAGAUACCCGGGUAGUCCCUGUCUCUUAUAC